UCCUGGCUCAGGAUGAACGCUAGCGGCAGGCUUAACACAUGCAAGUCGAGGGGCAUCGGGAGUAGCAAUACUGCCGGCGACCGGCGCAAGGGUGCGUAACGCGUGAGCAACAUGCCCGUAUCAGGGGGAUAAUCCAUGGAAACGUGGUCUAAUACCCCAUAGUAAUUAUGUAAGGCAUCUUAUAUAAUUUAAAGCUUUGGUGGAUACGGAUUGGCUCGCGUGACAUUAGCUGGAUGGUAAGGUAACGGCUUACCAUGGCUACGAUGUCUAGGGGUUCUGAGAGGAAGGUCCCCCACACUGGAACUGAGACACGGUCCAGACUCCUACGGGAGGCAGCAGUGAGGAAUAUUGGACAAUGGAUGGAAAUCUGAUCCAGCCAUGCCGCGUGCAAGGAAGACGGCCCUAUGGGUUGUAAACUGCUUUUGUAUGGGAGCAAUAAGGGCUACGUGUAGUCCGAUGAGAGUACCAUACGAAUAAGCACCGGCUAACUCCGUGCCAGCCGCCGC
rnacentral:rRNA from 1 species